GGCCGCCUGGCGAAAUGGCAUCGCGUCUGACUACGAUUAUCAAAACCGUUAUCAGGAGAUUGCAGGUUCGACCCCUGCGGUGGUCA
rnacentral:tRNA from 1 species